rnacentral:rRNA from 1 species
GAUGAACGCUGGCGGCGUGCCUAAUACAUGCAAGUCGAGCGAACAGAUAAGGAGCUUGCUCCUUUGACGUUAGCGGCGGACGGGUGAGUAACACGUGGGUAACCUACCUAUAAGACUGGGAUAACUUCGGGAAACCGGAGCUAAUACCGGAUAACAUUUGGAACCGCGUGGUUCUAAAGUGAAAGAUGGUUUUGCUAUCACUUAUAGAUGGACCCGCGCCGUAUUAGCUAGUUGGUAAGGUAACGGCUUACCAAGGCGACGAUACGUAGCCGACCUGAGAGGGUGAUCGGCCACACUGGAACUGAGACACGGUCCAGACUCCUACGGGAGGCAGCAGUAGGGAAUCUUCCGCAAUGGGCGAAAGCCUGACGGAGCAACGCCGCGUGAGUGAUGAAGGGUUUCGGCUCGUAAAACUCUGUUAUUAGGGAAGAACAAAUGUGUAAGUAACUGUGCACGUCUUGACGGUACCUAAUCAGAAAGCCACGGCUAACUACGUG